rnacentral:rRNA from 1 species
CAAGUCCUACGGGAGGCAGCAGUGGGGGAUAUUGCACAAUGGGGGAAACCCUGAUGCAGCGACGCCGCGUGGGCGAAGAAGUAUUUCGGUAUGUAAAGCCCUAUCAGCAGGGAAGAAGAAAUGACGGUACCUGAGUAAGAAGCACCGGCUAAAUACGUGCCAGCAGCCGCGGUAAUACGUAUGGUGCAAGCGUUAUCCGGAUUUACUGGGUGUAAAGGGAGCGCAGGCGGCACGGCAAGCCUAAUGUGAAAGCCCGCGCCCCAACCGGCGGACUGCAUUGGGAACUACCGGGCUGGAGUGCCGGG